rnacentral:rRNA from 1 species
AAUGGGUCAGCGACUUAUAUUCUGUAGCAAGGUUAACCGUAUAGGGGAGCCGUAGGGAAACCGAGUCUUAACCGGGCGUUAAGUUGCAGGGUAUAGACCCGAAACCCGGUGAUCUAGCCAUGGGCAGGUUGAAGGUUGGGUAACACUAACUGGAGGACCGAACCGACUAAUGUUGAAAAAUUAGCGGAUGACCUGUGGCUGGGGGUGAAAGGCCAAUCAAACCGGGAGAUAGCUGGUUCUCCCCGAAAGCUAUUUAGGUAGCGCCUCGUGAAUUCAUCUCCGGGGGUAGAGCACUGUUUCGGCUAGGGGGCCAUCCCGGCUUACCAACCCGAUGCAAACUGCGAAUACCGGAGAAUGUUAUCACGGGAGACACACGGCGGGUGCUAACGUCCGUCGUGAAGAGGGAAACAACCCAGACCGCCAGCUAAGGUCCCAAAGUCAUGGUUAAGUGGGAAACGAUGUGGGAAGGCCCAGACAGCCAGGAUGUUGGCUUAGAAGCAGCCAUCAUUUAAAGAAAGCGUAAUAGCUCACUGGUCGAGUCGGCCUGCGCGGAAGAUGUAACGGGGCUAAACCAUGCACCGAAGCUGCGGCAGCGACGCUGAUGCGUUGUUGGGUAGGGGAGCGUUCUGUAAGCCUGUGAAGGUGGCCUGUGAGGGUUGCUGGAGGUAUCAGAAGUGCGAAUGCUGACAUAAGUAACGAUAAAGCGGGUGAAAAGCCCGCUCGCCGGAAGACCAAGGGUUCCUGUCCAACGUUAAUCGGGGCAGGGUGAGUCGACCCCUAAGGCGAGGCCGAAAGGCGUAGUCGAUGGGAAACGGGUUAAUAUUCCCGUACUUGGUGUUACUGCGAAGGGGGGACGGAGAAGGCUAUGUUGGCCGGGCGACGGUUGUCCCGGUUUAAGCGUGUAGGUGUGUGUUCCAGGUAAAUCCGGUUCACUUUAACACUGAGGCGUGAUGACGAGGCACUACGGUGCUGAAGCAACAA